rnacentral:rRNA from 1 species
CACGCAGGCGGUUUGCUCAGUCCUUUGUGAAAGCCCGGGGCUCAACCCCGGAAUUGCAUGGGAUACUGGCAGACUGGAGACUGGUAGAGGCUAGCGGAAUUCCUGGUGUAGCGGUGGAAUGCGUAGAUAUCAGGAAGAACACCUGUGGCGAAGGCGGCUAGCUGGGCCAGAUCUGACGCUCAUGUGCGAAAGCGUGGGGAGCAAACA